CCUACGGGAGGCAGCAGUGGGGGAUAUUGGACAAUGGGGGGAACCCUGAUCCAGCGACGCCGCGUGAGUGAAGAAGUAUUUCUGUAUGUAAAGCUCUGUCAGCAGGGAAGAAAGAAAUGACGGUACCUGACCAAGAAGCUCCGGCUAACUACGUGCCAGCAGCCGCGGUAAUACGUAGGGGGCAAGCGUUAUCCGGAAUUACUGGGUGUAAAGGGAGCGUAGACGGUUAAGUAAGUCUGGAGUGAAAGGCCGGGGCCCAACCCCGGGACUGCUCUGGAAACUAUUGAACUUGAGUGCAGGGGAGGUAAGCGGAAUUCCUAGUGUAGCGGUGAAAUGCGUAGAUAUUAGGAGGAACACCAGUGGCGAAGGCGGCUUACUGGACUGUAACUGACGUUGAGGCUCGAAAGCGUGGGGAGCAAACAGGAUUAGAUACCCCUGUAGUC
rnacentral:rRNA from 1 species